rnacentral:tRNA from 1 species
GGUGGCUCAGUGGUAGAGUGAGUGCUUGCCUUGCACACAUGAGGCCCUGGGUUCAAUUCUCAGCACCA